GACGAACGCUGGCGGCGUGCUUAACACAUGCAAGUCGAACGGAAAGGCCCUGCUUUUGUGGGGUGCUCGAGUGGCGAACGGGUGAGUAACACGUGAGUAACCUGCCCUUGACUUUGGGAUAACUUCAGGAAACUGGGGCUAAUACCGCAUAGGAGCUCCUGCUGCAUGGUGGGGGUUGGAAAGUUUCGGCGGUUGGGGAUGGACUCGCGGCUUAUCAGCUUGUUGGUGGGGUAGUGGCUUACCAAGGCUUUGACGGGUAGCCGGCCUGAGAGGGUGACCGGCCACAUUGGGACCGAGAUACGGCCCAGACUCCUACGGGAGGCAGCAGUGGGGAAUAUUGCACAAUGGGCGGAAGCCUGAUGCAGCAACGCCGCGUGCGGGAUGACGGCCUUCGGGUUGUAAACCGCUUUCGCCUGUGACGAAGCGUGAGUGACGGUAAUGGGUAAAGAAGCACCGGCUAACUACGUG
rnacentral:rRNA from 1 species